rnacentral:rRNA from 1 species
UACGGAGGGAGCUAGCGUUGUUCGGAAAUACUGGGCGUAAAGCGCACGUAGGCGGCGCAGCAAGUCAGGGGUGAAAUCCCGGGGCUCAACCCCGGAACUGCCCUUGAAACUGCAGAGCUAGAAUCCUGGAGAGGCGAGUGGAAUUCCGAGUGUAGAGGUGAAAUUCGUAGAUAUUCGGAAGAACACCAAUGGCGAAAGCAGCUCUCUGGGACGGUACUGACGCUGAGACGCGAAAGCGUGGGGAGCGAACAGG